AUUGAACGCUGGCGGCAUGCCUUACACAUGCAAGUCGAACGGUAACAGGUCUUCGGAUGCUGACGAGUGGCGAACGGGUGAGUAAUACAUCGGAACGUGCCUAGUAGUGGGGGAUAACUACUCGAAAGAGUGGCUAAUACCGCAUGAGAUCUACGGAUGAAAGCAGGGGAUCGCAAGACCUUGUGCUACUAGAGCGACCGAUGGCAGAGUCGGUAGUUGGUGGGAUAAAAGCUUACCAAGCCGACGAUCUGUAGCUGGUCUGAGAGGACGCUCAUCCACACUGGGCCUGCGGCACAGGCCAGACUCCUACGGGCGGCAGCAGUGGGGAACUUUGGGCGAUGGGCGCAAGACUGAUCCCGCAAUGGCGCGUGCGAGGUGAAGGCCUGAGGGUUGUGAACUGUUUUUGAACGGGACGAAAAGCCCUGAGUUAAUCCCCUGGGGUCAUGACGGUACCGGAAGAAUAAGCACCGGCUAACUACGUGCCAGCCGCCGCUGUAACAC
rnacentral:rRNA from 1 species